GUAAAUUCGUAGACGUGGAAUUCCUGGAUCAAAUGGUCACCAAUUGUUUCAGCAUCAUUUAUUGAAUAAUCCAACCUCCUUCCACUGAUUUGAAAUGGCAAGAACUGUCCUCCCACUAGAUAGGGUGUAGCUUCCCACAGGUACUCGGAGAAUUAAAGCUGUCUGGACUCAGUUCCUGGAAUUUUCUAGAAUGGUAUAAGUGUAAAAUGAGGAGAUAGAAGAUUGAGAGGGCCAGCGGAAGCGCGGAAGAGGGCUUCUUGUCCACUGCACGGUUGCCACCUAGUGACCAUUUUGAAUGGUGAUACUUGUUCUCAUCUCAGCCUGGUAGCCUGACCUUGACUGCUGAGUUCUGUGGUGCCUUCACAACUACAAGUCAUUCUCAUACGAAAUUUGAGUUUACCUAGUCUGCACCUUUGAGAGUUUUGUAACAAUAUGCAAAUUCAAGUUACCAUCAUGUUAUCUUGCUGACUAUCUCAUGUGACAAGACCAACAUUUGGGUUGCUUGCUUGUACCCUGGUUCUUCUGCCUAUUGUUCCCUCUGCGGCCGUCAAUCACACACAUGUGUAGUCAUGCAAAAGCUAUUUUGCCCUUUUUAUUUGUCUUGUGAAUGUCAUCAUUUGCUCCUUAUAGUGUUGUGUAUUGCUCAGUGAUAGAAAACUUUCCGUAACUGUAAACUUGUGUAAGUUUGGGUGAGAAUGGCAUCCAAGCAAAAAACCAAGGAGGUAGAUGAUAGAAAUGCAAGAAGAGUGAAGAGGUUAAGAAAGGUGGUGUCUAUAGCAAACAAAAUGAGAAUUCUUGAAAUGCUUGAUAAUGGUGAAACCAAGACCUCUGUAGGGCGUUUUUUUGUGUGUUAAUGAAUCAGUAAAGAAAAAUGAGAAAGCUAUUAGGGCCAAUGCAUCAAGGGGCACACCAGAAUCAUUGAGAAAAUCAGACAUAACUUGAAAUGCCAAAAUAGAGAAAAUGGAAAGAGAUUUGCAUUUGUGGCUUCUAAAACAUAGAAGCCUGAAUAAGCCUCUUUCCAUGUGUAUAAUCUGGCAGUGAGCAUCACAAAAAUGCAAGUUUAAAUUUUGAUCUGGAUGGAACAUUAUAACAUUUAUCAUAAUGGGUGGUUGGAUAGGUUUAAGAACUGCUAUGGUCUAUAUGAAAAGAAGUGGCUGGCAGAGGAAGCAGAUCAUGAAGCCACUGCAGAAUAUCCUGAAGAAACGGAUAGAGAAAAAUGGCUAUUUGCCUGAACAGGUCUUCAAUGCUGAUGAAACGGUCUUGUUCUGGAAACGCAUGCCUACUUGCACAUCUAUUGUAAAGGAUGAGAAAAGGACCAGAGAGUUCAAGCCUGGGAAAGAGAAGCUCAAAGUUCUUCUUUGUUCCAAUGCUUCUGGUGACUUUCUGACUAAACCCAUGUUGCUUCACAGAUUCCGAAAUUCUUGCCCUCUUAAAAGAAAAUGCCAGAAACACUUUUCUGUGUACCUGAAAGGAAACCAUAAAAUAUGGAUCACUGAGAAACUCUUUUUGGACUGGUUUUUGAAGUGUUUUGUUCCUGAGGUCAAACAAUAUUUAAACCCAAAACAUCUUGAAUUCAAAGUGUUGCUGAUUCUGGACAUGGCUCCCAGUGACAAAAGCGUGAUAGUAAAUGCUGAUCUUUGUGUUGAAGUCGUCUCCAUUCCCCCCAGUACGACUCCACUCCUUCAAUCCAUGCACUUGUGAGUAUAUUUGACUACCCGGCAGAUCUUAUGAGAGAGACAUCAGAAAUUACUCUGAAAGUAGCUUGGCAAAAUUUCUCCGUUUGUAACGCUUUAACUGUGGUAGAAGAAUCAGUGAGAGAAAUAAAACAAUCAAACCUUAAUGGAGCCUGGAAGAAACUUUGGAAUGAGGUUGUAACUGAUUCUGAAAGGUUCCUUCCAGUUGCAGAAGAAACUGAAAAUGUUGUAGUAUCUGCAAAACGUUUUGGUGGUGAAGGAUUUGAAGACAGUGAAUUAAGUGACAUUGCUGAACUGUAGAUUCUCACCCUCAGAAGACAGUUGAGAAAUAUUUCAGAGAUGUGAUCACAUCAAAAGUUGAUGAAAGAGGUCAGUAUAGGUUAACUUCAAGAACUUGAAGAAUGUUGAAGCACCCACUCUGCAAAUCAAAUUGCCGUGAUGAUUCAGAGAAAAGAGAUCCUUCGGUGGAAUAUUUAUUGACC